UCGUCGGCUGUUGCCAGCGGGAGAGGCCGGGCACUCAGCCGAGACCGCCGGGGACGACCCGGAGGAAGGUGGGGAUGACGUCAAAUCCGCAUGGCCUUGAUGCUCUGGGCGACACACGUGCUACAAUGGCGCCGACAACGGGAGGCGACCGCGCGAGCGGGAGCGGGCCCCUCAAAGGGCGUCGUAGUUCGGAUUGCAGGCUGCAACUCGCCUGCAUGAAGCGGGAAUUGCUAGUAAUCGCGGAUCAGCAUGCCGCGGUGAA
rnacentral:rRNA from 1 species